rnacentral:rRNA from 1 species
AACGAACGCUGGCGGCAUGCCUAACACAUGCAAGUCGAACGAAGCCUUCGGGCUUAGUGGCGCACGGGUGCGUAACGCGUGGGAAUCUGCCCUUGGGUUCGGAAUAACAGUUAGAAAUGACUGCUAAUACCGAAUGAUGUCUUCGGACCAAAGAUUUAUCACCCAAGGAUGAGCCCGCGUCGGAUUAGCUAGUUGGUGAGGUAAAGGCUCACCAAGGCGACGAUCCGUAGCUGGUCUGAGAGGAUGAUCAGCCACACUGGGACUGAGACACGGCCCAGACUCCUACGGGAGGCAGCAGUGGGGAAUAUUGGACAAUGGGCGAAAGCCUGAUCCAGCAAUGCCGCGUGAGUGAUGAAGGCCUUAGGGUUGUAAAGCUCUUUUACCCGGGAUGAUAAUGACAGUACCGGGAGAAUAAGCCCCGGCUAACUCCGUGCCAGCAGCCGCGGUAAU